rfam:Stegodyphus mimosarum contig74722, whole genome shotgun sequence.
GCCUUCGUAGCGUAGCGGUCAGCACACCCGACGCGAAUUCGAGAGGUCCGUGGUUCGAGUCCCGGCGAGGGCA